rnacentral:rRNA from 1 species
GAUGAACGCUGACAGAAUGCUUAACACAUGCAAGUCUUUGGCGAAGCUGUGCUUGCACAGCCUAGCCAAGGCGGACGGGUGAGUAACGCGUAAGGAACUUGCCCUGCAGUCAGGGAUAACAGACGGAAACGACUGAUAAGACCUGGUAAAGUCAGGCGGACUCAUGUCCAGCCUGAUGAAAAGUGAUGCUGCAGGAGAGUCUUGCGUCCUAUUAGCUUGUUGGUGGGGUAACGGCCCACCAAGGCGAUGAUAGGUAGCCGGCCUGAGAGGGUGGACGGCCACAAGGGGACUGAGAUACGGCCCAUACUCCUACGGGAGGCAGCAGUGGGGAAUAUUGGACAAUGGGGGCAACCCUGAUGCAGCAAUUCUGUGUGCACGAUGAAGGUUUUCGGAUUGAAAAGUGCUUUCAGCAGGGAAGAAAAAAAUGACGGUACCUGCAGAAGAAGCGACGGCUAAAUACGUG